AUAACCCAAAACUCGACAAUUGUACUUUUUAAAAAAUUUUAAUUAAUAAGAUAAAAUACCUUUAUUACCCUUUCAACAUAAAUUGGAAUUCUAAUCUCGUUAUCUGGCGUUGAAGCCAAAUCAGAACUCAUUUCACGAGCUCCAAUCUCUCAUAUUCAUCUUCAACCUCAAUUUUCAAUUUUUGUUCUUCCUUUUCUUGUUUUGAAAUCAUCUUUUUCUUUGGACUUUUUGAUUGUGCGGAUGUCUAUGUCUCUUCUCCAUUGCUGGCUCUGACACUUUUUGAAGGGACCAAGCCUCAACUUGCCAAAUCGAAUCAUCUCGAUCUCUCCAAGUUCAUUCUCCUAUACUUUCUUCUUCAUCUUUUUGUUUUUGCUUGUAGAUUUGUGGACGAAGGUAUAAGAUUGAGAUUAUGGUGGAAUUUUACACUGACAUCAAAGGAACCUUGAUCUCAACAAGUCGUCUCGGUGGAAACAACAGUCGAGGACCUCGCUGGUUGUUCCAGAGUACUGCAUAAUGACAAUGACUCAUCAUCUUCAGUUGUCGAGGAAGACAGGGAUUUCGCCCCGUUGCCGUCGUCAUUGUUGAUUGGUUUGGACUUGGAAUUUUUGAUCUUUUACUUCAAUUAUGUGUUUCUCUUCGGAUUUAAGAUGAUUUGAGGAAUGUAUUUUAAGCUUUGAUGAUUGAUUUGUCUUUUGUUACUAUUUAUGUUAUAGAUCUCAUUUUUGUUUAACAAUGUACUUCUAUG
rnacentral:lncRNA from 1 species